AUUGAACGCUGGCGGCAGGCCUAACACAUGCAAGUCGAACGAGUGGCGGACGGGUGAGUAAUGUCUGGGAAUCUGCCUGCUGGAGGGGAGUCACUGCUGGCAACGGUAGAUGAUAGCGCAUACUACCGUUUGAGCCCUGAUGGGAUUAGCUAGUGGGUGGGGUAAAGGCUCACCUAGGCGACGAUCCCUAGCUGGUCUGAGAGGAUGACCAGCCACACUGGAACUGAGACACGGUCCAGACUCCUACGGGAGGCAGCAGUGGGGAAUAUUGCACAAUGGGCGCAAGCCUGAUGCAGCCAUGCCGCGUGUAUGAAGAAGGCCUUCGGGUUGUAAAGUACUUUCAGCGGGGAGGCGUUACCCGCAGAAGAAGCACCGGCUAACUCCGUGCCAGCAGCCGCGGUAAUAC
rnacentral:rRNA from 1 species